rnacentral:rRNA from 1 species
GCAUAUCAAUAAGCGGAGGAAAAGAGAAUAACAAUGAUUCCCCUAGUAACGGCGAGUGAAGAGGGAUAAGCUCAAAUUUUAAAUCUGAUCGGUUUUACUUAUCAGAAUUGUAAUUUGAAGAAACGUUUUCUGUGUCUUGAAUUAGCCUAAAUCUUUUGGAACAAGGUAUCAUGGAGGGUGACAAUCCCGUUCAUGGUUAAUUUUAAGAUGCGUUACGAUACGUUUUCAAAGAGUCGAGUUGUUUGGGAUUGCAGCUCAAAAUGGGAGGUAAAUUUCUCCUAAGGCUAAAUAACGGCGAGAGACCGAUAGCGAACAAGUACCGUGAGGGAAAGAUGAAAAGAACUUUGAAAAGAGAGUUAAACAGUACGUGAAAUUGUUGAAAGGGAAACGAUUGAAGCCAGUCGUACCUUCGGGUAAUCAGCCUUUCGGGUGCGAUUCUGUGGAGUGUGAGGAGCUUAACACCUUCAUGCUUUGCAUAUUUGUGCUCUUGGGUGUACUUGCCCGUGUGGUUGGUUAACAUCAAUUUUGAUUAUCAUAAAAUGACUGGAGGAAUGUAGCUUCGAUCUCGUAUUGAAGUGUUAUAGCCUUCGGUAGAUGUGAUGAUCGAGAUUGAGGAUUGCAACGGAUACCCUUCGGGGCUACCUGUCUGGUCUCUGAUCGUUGCUCUGGUGCCGAAAGCGUGCUUACGGUUAUCAAAGUCGAUGGUCAAUAGGUUAGAACGGGUUAAAUUCGUUAAGGAUGUUGACGUA